GAUUUACUGGGCGUAAAGCGCGUGUAGGUGGUUUGGUAAGUAGGGCGUGAAAGCUCCUGGCUCAACUGGGAGAGGACGUUCUAAACUGCCAAGCUUGAGGAUGGUAGAGGGAGGUGGAAUUCCGGGUGUAGCGGUGGAAUGCGCAGAUAUCCGGAGGAACACCAGUGGCGAAGGCGGCCUCCUGGACCACUCCUGACACUCAGACGCGAAAGCUAGGGUAGCAAACGGGAUUAGAGACCCCAGUAGUCCUAGCCCUAAACGAUGUAGACUUGGCGUCGGUGGUUUAAUCGCCAUCGGUGUCAUAGCUAACGCGUUAAGUCUACCGCCUGGGGACUACGGCCGCAAGGUUAAAACUCAAAGGAAUUGACGGGUCCCCGCACAAGCAGCGGAGCGUGUGGUUUAAUUCGAUGCUACACGAAGAACCUUACCUGGGUUUGACAUAGAGGUAGUAGGGAAGCGAAAGCGGACCGACCCUUCGGGGAGCCUCUACAGGUGUUGCAUGGCUGUCGUCAGCUCGUGUCGUGAGAUGUUCGGUUAAGUCCGCUAACGAGCGCAACCCUCGCUGUGUGUUACAAGUGUCACACGGUACUGCCGAUAUUAAGUCGGAGGAAGGUGGGGAUGACGUCAAGUCAGCAUGACCUUUAUAUCCAGGGCUACACACACGCUACAAUGGCCAGUACAAUGGGUUGCCAAGCCGCGAGGCGGAGCCAAUCCUAAAAAGCUGGCCUCAGUUCAGAUUGCAGUCUGCAACUCGACUGCACGAAGUUGGAGUUGCUAGUAACCGCAGGUCAGCAAUACUGCGGUGAAUACGUUCCCGGGGAUUGUACACACCGCCCGUAAG
rnacentral:rRNA from 1 species